rnacentral:rRNA from 1 species
AUGUGGCCUUGCGGCCCUGCCAGGGCCUUCCGGCCCGGUGCCCGGCCAGUCCAUGGCGCGGCGUGGCCUGCCACAGCCGGGCGAGCUCAAGAUCGACCGGAUCCGCCCCAAAUCCGGCCAGCGGGUGCGCAAAUCAGGUGGCCGUGGUUGGGUAGCUCGGGGGCGCCGAGGGGGAAGGGGUUGGGCGAGCGCGCGUCCGAGCUGCACAGCUACAAUGGCAGCAGCGGCGGCGACGAGGGAAGAGUGGAGAAGAAUGGAGGGUGUGCGGCCGGAAGGAGGGAGGGGGUGGACACGCGCAGACGGCCCGCGCGUCCGCGUGCUGUCCGUUUCACCCCAAAAGCGGCGCAAACUUGGGCCGGGAUGGGUCGAAAGCGGACAGAAAACGGACAAAAGUCCGUUUGCGCCCACGCGCUGGGCCGUCUGGUUCGUCCGUUUUAUCCCAAACGAACGCGUGCGGACAGGAUGGGGUCGCGCGGUGGAGUUGGCCUAAAUUUUUACAUCACCGAUUUAGAGCAUCAAAAUAUACAUCAUGUGUUGGAAAUGCUCUAA